AUGCCUGUGUCUAUGCCUAUGUCUGUGUAUGAACUCUUGGAGUUAGAAGUAACAUUUAGAUUUUGUUCAACCUCAUCUGACCAUCAGUCUAGGAUCAAAUCCAACAGGUAUGGCAGAACCCACCACCACCAUCAGAGAAUUGCUGAUAGGAGCCUUGCCUUCCAACUCCCCUCCAUCCUGUGCAAAUGGUGCCCUGGAAAGCUCUGCAGUUUCUACUACAGGAACGUGGCAUCUGGGAGCUGUGCAAACAAAGGCAUUUGGUGAGCACUCAGUGGGAGCAUGGCUGCCUGAAUCACUUCACUGAUGUCCUUUAGCACUUUCAGAAUCAAAUCUUUGUCUUCCUCUUGAAUUCACAUGAAAUGCCUUGUUGGAUCUCAGCCCCCUGGUCUUCAUGUCUUUCAGGAAAGGCUGUGUCUAUGAGCUAUAUUUGCAGGUUGACAGAUGAUUUUAUACUGACAGAAUCAUCCAGAAGUCAUCUAUAGCAGAUGUGCCAUGUAAUUACACUGUCACUGAACGAUUCCAGACAUUGGCUUCAUAAUUCUAAGAAUCCAUUUCUAUCCAUGAGAAAAUUCCCAGUUAUUUUUUGUAGAUAUUACAUUUUUCAGUCAGUUUUACUCUGAUGAAAGAUGUAUUCCAGAAGCUUUUUAAGACAACAAAGCCAAGAUUUGUCUAAUCUAAUGCUAUGCCUCCAGCUGACACAUCUUGAGCUGGGAUCCUAGUCAUGCAUCUUUCCCUCUUUAAGAACUGUGAGGGAGAGACCUCCAUUCAGAUCUUAGGUUGCACAGCUCAUCCACUGGAGCUGUUCUUUUAUUUCUGCUGGUAAGGAAGCUUAGAGUGCAACUGGUCCUAAUUUAGGGGUCUCGUUUAAAAGCCUAAACACAGAGGAGCUGAAGUCACAGACAGACAAGGAGGCUGAUUUCUUUUCUUUAUUAGACAUCAGAUAUGACAGAAGUCAAAACAGAAGGUGUCAGUGUGCCAAUGUUAUAGUAUCUGAUAUACUCUGCUUUGGGCAUCCUCAUAUUCAGGACAGUUGCUUAGCAACUAGGAUACAGGCUUAGGACACAGAACUCUGGGAUCUUUUCUCUCAACAUGAUUAACAUGACUUCGAUAAAUUACUUCACCUUUCUGUGUUUCCUCUUUCCCUUUGUACAUCUUUUUAUUCUGUCUCUUACCAAAUGUUUCAGCAGCUUUUCUGAAGAUAUCACCACCUUUAAAUAAUGAAAUUAUAUUCUCUGCAAUGAGGUUGCAGGUACCAGAAAAGGGAAUUGAGUGUCAUCUCCUCUCACUACCUGUCUCUUACUAAUUUCUCCUUAACUAAUUUCAUCACAGAAACGAAAGAUCUGACAUAUUUGCAAUCUAGGAACUGAGGUAUUUCAAUUGAUUUUUUUUUCCUCCAUGUGUGUAAAUUUCAGAACACAAACCAUUAAAAAAAAUCUAAUUUGGCAUUUGGCAUAAUGUCAGUAGACUUUAUACAAUAACACUAUCCAACCAGACACAUUAGGGGAAGAGAAUCUGCAAGACAGCAUACUUUUGGCGCCGUUAAAUAUUCAUACUACUACUACUACUACCAUCAGCAAAUAAAGACAGGUGGAAGAACA
rnacentral:lncRNA from 1 species